AGUCCUUCCCACAGAGAGCGGUUUGAUAUGUCACUGAAACCAGCAUCCAGGUGGUAUUGCUCCAUAUGCCUGAGACCCUAACAAAAGCCUAAUUACAACUCAUAUGCCUGGAGCCAGGACAUGUGCAGGAUGGUGAUGUAACUUUCCUCUCUGGAAUGGGUCCUGCACAAAGGAAUGAUAGUAACAUAUUGCAAAGCCAGACACACAGCCAUGAUGGUCCAAGUUAUAUUGGGAUUCAGCCAAUAGAAGAUAUUUUGCCUGUCAUCCCUAAGCUUAGGACAAUAGGGUCCUGCCCACAAGAAAGAUUGUGACAUCUCACUGGACAAGCACCCACCCAGACUCUGCCAAGAGAGGGGAUUAUUACAUAUUGCAGAGCCCAGCACCUAGGUGGAGUGACUCUCAUCUUUUUCUUCUACCCCGUAUAUAGCCAGCUUGGUGACCUACUAUUUGAGUCUAUACCCAGGCCCAGACCACAGAUGAAAUUGUGCAAUAUGUGGAACAAACACCUAAACAAUAUAUAACACCUUCCUUGGCUCUGUCUACAAAGGGCACUUUUAUAUAUCACUGGGACCAUCAACCAGGUGAUGUUAAUUAUCUUCCUGAAACCUGUCUACAAAGAGAGUUGUGUCGUAUACCUAGGCCCGUCAUGUAAGUGAUGUCAGUCCCUUCUACUGCCUUGGCCCUGCACUUACAGUGCAUUGUGACACAUAACAAGGUACUGCACACAGACGAUGUGAUUCUCCUUUUUGGGUUCUGCCAAAAGGAAGCAUUGUAAUAAAUCGCUUGGCUCAGUACCAAGGUGAUGUUUCUUUGCUUUUGCCUGGGCCCUGAUAACAGGGAGAUUGUGAUCUAUUGCUGGGCCCAACAAAAAUGUGAGGUCACUCUCCAGCCGUGGUACUUCACAUAAGCGCCAUUGUGACAUGUAUCUAGGCCAAUUGCCUAGGUGAAGUGAGUUUCCUCUCUUGCCAAAGUCCUGCCCACAGAGGGGGUUUUGAUAUGUCACUGAAAUCAGCAUUCAGGUGAUGUGACUCUUCUGCCAGGGUCCUGCGUACUAGGUGGAUUGUGACAUCUCACUGGACCCGCAACCAUGUAGGUCAUGUGACUUUCAUGCCUUCUCACUGGCCACAGGUGAUGUUGUGCCAUAUAACUGAGACCGUAUCAAAAGCCUAAUAACAAGACGUAUGUCUGGAGCCCCGAUAUGCACAGGAUGGUGAUAUAACCCUCUUCUCUGGAAUGGGCCCCACACAAAGGAAGGAUAGUGACAUAUUGCAAGCCCAGGCACACAGGCCCAGAGCACAGUUGAAAUUGUGACAUAUGUACACCAAGCAACCAAGCAAUGUAUAACACCUCAUUUGGCAAUGGAAUCGAGGGCACUUUUACAUAUCACUGAGACCAGCGCCCAGCUGAUGUGAAAUAUUGGCCUGAACCCUGCCUACAAAAGCAUUGUGGCUUUUAUCUAGCUCCAUUACAUAAGUGAUGUGACUUCC
rnacentral:lncRNA from 1 species